UUGGGCGUAAAGGGUCCGCAGGCGGUCUAAUACAUCUUUCGUUAAAUCUUUCGGCUCAACCGAAAGUCCGCGAGAGAUAUGGUUAGGCUAGAGGCCGGGAGAGGUAAGCGGAAUUGUUGGUGUAGGGGUUAAAUCCGUUAAUAUCAACAAGAACACCAAAAGCGAAGGCAGCUUACUGGAACGGUUCUGACGCUCAGGGACGAAAGCGUGGGUAGCGAAUAGGAUUAGAUACCCUAGUAGUCCACGCCGUAAACGAUGAAUGCUAAGUAUUGGGAGUUUCGACCCUCUCAGUGCUGUUAUUUUAAGUUAACACGUUAAGCAUUCCGCCUGGGGAGUACGAGCGCAAGCUUAAAACUCAAAGGAAUAGACGGGGAUCCGCACAAGUGGUGGAGCAUGUGGUUUAAUUCGAUAAUAAGCGAGGAACCUCACCAAGGUUUGACAUAUAGCUGCAAGUCCUAGAAAUAGGAUCGCCUUCGAGGGUGCUAUACAGAUGCUGCAUGGUUGUCGUCAGCUCGUGUCGUGAGAUGUACCGUUAAGUCGGAAAACGAGCGCAACCCCUAUUCUAUGUUUUAUAUGUCAUAGAAAACUGCCUGCUUUAAGUGGGAGGAAGGUGGGGAUGACGUCAAAUCAGCAUGGUUCUUACACCUUGGGCUACACACGUGCUACAAUGGGAAGAACAAAGGGACGCUAAGCCGUAAGGUGGAGCAAAUCCCAUAAAUCUUCUCUCAGUUCGGAUCGAGGUCUG
rnacentral:rRNA from 1 species